rnacentral:rRNA from 1 species
GGACGAACGCUGGCGGCGUGCUUAACACAUGCAAGUCGAGCGGUAAGGCCCUUUCGGGGGUACACGAGCGGCGAACGGGUGAGUAACACGUGGGUGACCUGCCCUCAGCUCUGGGAUAAGCCUGGGAAACCGGGUCUAAUACCGGAUAUGACUCCAUGACGCAUGUUGUGGGGUGGAAAGCCUUGUGCGGCUGAGGAUGGGCCCGCGGCCUAUCAGCUUGUUGGUGGGGUGAUGGCCUACCAAGGCGACGACGGGUAGCCGGCCUGAGAGGGCGACCGGCCACACUGGGACUGAGACACGGCCCAGACUCCUACGGGAGGCAGCAGUGGGGAAUCUUGCGCAAUGGGCGAAAGCCUGACGCAGCGACGCCGCGUGAGGGAUGACGGCCUGGUGU